AGUAUUCAAUAGAACCUAUCAAAACAGCACCAAAAGAAAAAUCUGUUUUUGAAACCUGUUACAUAUCGAGGCGAAAAAUAAGUAUUCAACUGUAACUAUCAAAACAGCACCAUCGAAAUCGAUUUCUGAAAUGGGGUUGUUCUUCAUCUAAAGAAAACGACAUAGAGAAAGGGAGAGGAGGUGGAUUCCAACAAUCUCGAGAUAAUUUGGGGAUUUUUCAGUUAUGCAAAGGGCUUCAAUCAGAGAUUGUUACUCAUCUAAUCAGAGUCCAAUGCUUUAUUUUGAUCUAAAAAACAGAUCGUAAUUAAGGUGGUAAGUGGUGAGCAAGUAACUCAGGAAGAUCAGAAAUGAGUCCUUCUCAACUCUGCUCAAUCCAAGCAAUUAACACACAAGGAAAAAGGUUUAAAGUUCAAAAACUGAUGAUUCAGUGCACCAUAUAAAGACUAAAAUGAAAAUGUUAUUUAUACUGAUUUUUGACUUUUGGGUUGCAAAAAUAGGAACCAGGCUGAACAAUAUCAUAAAUUGUUCAAGUGCUUAAAAGAGUAUUCGAUGGAGUAUCUGGGUUGUUGAAGUGGGCGAGAAACCUUUAAGCAAAGAUAUAACAUCAUGCCUACAGAAGAUAUCUAACCAUCAAUAGGUUUUUUGGUCUGAGUAGAAUGAUAACAUGUUUGGGGUUGUAAUAUUUUUUCCAUUGGAAUUUAUUAAUUUCAUUCAGGCAUCGAGAUUCUGAAAUGUGGCAGAAUUGUGACUGAUUUGCCAGCAAAGGUACUUUUAUGGACCCUUUAUAUGUUCUUCAAGCUAUCCCAUUUGCUAUAAUUAUUCUUUCAAUAUCGACUCUCUUUUAUUUUGUAUUUGAAUGUUUAAUUGUUCACUUUUCCGUACCACUUCCUGAUGUUUCUUGCUAUUUAGGUGCAAGGUUUGACUUUGUAUCAGUUAAAAAUUAAAAAAAAAAUUGCAUUCUGUAAUGAUGUGAAAGAUUCUCUAGCUACUAAAAUUAGCAAGAGAGCACAAAUGUACCGAAGUUAAUCUUAGAAUGGCUGGCAACCAACCUGUUAAAUGAAUGACCUAUGUUUGUCAUUUGAAGUUAUUUGGGUUGUCUUCAACCUUCCUCCCAAAUUUGAGCCUACAUUACUAGAAGAUUGUUUUCUAUUGCUUUUUUUGGAUGUUACAUAGAACCUUAUACAAUCAAUUGGAUGCUCUUCAUUAAGAAGGUUGUCUCUGUUUACUGUUAUGUUUCUCUCAUUAAGAAAGAAAGACAGUAUAUAAAGGACACAAAUCAAAAGAGGUGUAAAUUUUAUUUUGUUCUUAUUUAAUAAACAACGGAAAAAGGAAAGAAGAGAAAGCAAGUCUUUAUAUUUCAAGCAUCUUUAAAUUUUUGCUAUUUGUGCACUCUGAGUUUAAACUUAUUAUAUUCUACAAAUUCUUCUACUUCA